rnacentral:rRNA from 1 species
CCUACGGGUGGCAGCAGUGGGGAAUAUUGCACAAUGGGCGCAAGCCUGAUGCAGCCAUGCCGCGUGUGUGAAGAAGGCCUUCGGGCUGUAAAGCACUUUCAGCGGGGAGGAAGGCGGUGAGGUUAAUAACCUCAUCGAUUGACGUUACCCGCAGAAGAAGCACCGGCUAACUCCGUGCCAGCAGCCGCGGUAAUACGGAGGGUGCAAGCGUUAAUCGGAAUUACUGGGCGUAAAGCGCACGCAGGCGGUCUGUCAAGUCGGAUGUGAAAUCCCCGGGCUCAACCUGGGAACUGCAUUCGAAACUGGCAGGCUAGAGUCUUGUAGAGGGGGGUAGAAUUCCAGGUGUAGCGGUGAAAUGCGUAGAGAUCUGGAGGAAUACCGGUGGCGAAGGCGGCCCCCUGGACAAAGGCUGACGCUCAGGUGCGAAAGCGUGGGGAGCAAACAGGAUUAGAUACCCGUGUAGUC